GACGAACGCUGGCGGCGUGCCUAAUACAUGCAAGUAGAACGCUGAAGGAGGAGCUUGCUUCUCUGGAUGAGUUGCGAACGGGUGAGUAACGCGUAGGUAACCUGCCUGGUAGCGGGGGAUAACUAUUGGAAACGAUAGCUAAUACCGCAUAAUAGUAGAUGUUGCAUGACAUUUGCUUAAAAGGUGCAAUUGCAUCACUACCAGAUGGACCUGCGUUGUAUUAGCUAGUUGGUGGGGUAACGGCUCACCAAGGCGACGAUACAUAGCCGACCUGAGAGGGUGAUCGGCCACACUGGGACUGAGACACGGCCCAGGCUCCUACGGGAGGCAGCAGUAGGGAAUCUUCGGCAAUGGACGGAAGUCUGACCGAGCAACGCCGCGUGAGUGAAGAAGGGUUUCGGAUCGUAAAGCUCUGUUGUAAGAGAAGAACGAGUGUGAGAGUGGAAAGUUCACACUGUGACGGUAUCUUACCAGAAAGGGACGGCUAACUACGUG
rnacentral:rRNA from 1 species